rnacentral:rRNA from 1 species
UACGUAGGGUGCGAGCGUUGUCCGGAAUUACUGGGCGUAAAGAGCUCGUAGGUGGUUUGUCGCGUUGUUCGUGAAAACUCACAACUCAAUUGUGGGCGUGCGGGCGAUACGGGGCAGACUGGAGUACUGCAGGGGGAGACUGGAAUUCCUGGUGUAGCGGUGGAAUGCGCAGAUAUCAGGAGGAACACCGGUGGCGAAGGCGGGGUCUCUGGGGCAGUAACUGACGCUGAGGAGCGAAAAGCGUGGGGGAGCGAACAGG